rnacentral:rRNA from 1 species
GAUGAACGCUGGCGGCGUGCCUAAUACAUGCAAGUCGAGCGAACGGACGAGAAGCUUGCUUUUCUGAUGUUAGCGGCGGACGGGUGAGUAACACGUGGAUAACCUACCUAUAAGACUGGGAUAACUUCGGGAAACCGGAGCUAAUACCGGAUAAUAUUUUGAACCGCAUGGUUCAAAAGUGAAAGACGGUCUUGCUGUCACUUAUAGAUGGAUCCGCGCUGCAUUAGCUAGUUGGUAAGGUAACGGCUUACCAAGGCAACGAUGCAUAGCCGACCUGAGAGGGUGAUCGGCCACACUGGAACUGAGACACGGUCCAGACUCCUACGGGAGGCAGCAGUAGGGAAUCUUCCGCAAUGGUCGAAAGCCUGACGGAGCAACGCCGCGUGAGUGAUGAAGGUCUUCGGAUCGUAAAACUCUGUUAUUAGGGAAGAACAUAUGUGUAAGUAACUGUGCACAUCUUGACGGUACCUAAUCAGAAAGCCACGGCUAACUACGU